UGAGUUUGAUCCUGGCUCAGGGUGAACGCUAGUAGUAUGCUUAACACAUGCGAGUCGAACGUAGAAUAAUUCUUCGUGGCGUACGGGUGAGUAACACACAGGAAUCUGCCUUUUAGUUCAGGAUAAAAUUCUGAAUAAUCAAAGAAAACUUUUCGCUAAAAGAUGAGCCUGUGUAGGAUUAGGUAGUUGGUAUUUGGGUAAAAGCCUACCAAGCCUAUGAUCCUUAGCUGUUCUGAGAGGUUGUACAGCCACACUGGGACUGAGACAAGGCCCAGGCUUCAUUUGGAGCCAGCAGUGAGGAAUUUUGGACAAUGAGCGAAAGCUUGAUCCAGCAAUACUACAUGAGUGAUGGAAGGCUUUCAAGUUGUAAAACUCUUUGGUUGAGGAGGAUAAUGACAGUACUCAACAAAAUAGCCCCGGCUAACUUCGUGCCAGCAGCCGCGGUAAGACGAAGGGGGCGAGCGUUAUCCGGAAUGACUGGGCGUAAAGGGUCCGUAGGCAGCAUUUUUUGUUAGAGGUUAAAUAAAAAAGCUUAACUUUUUUCCGCUUCUAAAACGUAAAUGCUUUGAGUUUGAUAGGAGAUAGCAGAAUUUCACAUGGAGGGGUGAUAUCCGUAGAUAUGUGAAGGAAUACCAGAGGCGAAGGCGGCUAUCUAGAUCAAUACUGACGUUGAGGGACGAAAGCAUGGGGAGCAAACAGGAUUAGAUACCCUGGUAGUCCAUGCCCUAAAAGAUGAGUGCUCGUGCUUAGAGAUUUUUAGGCACUUAGUUAACACGUUAAGCACUCCGCCUGGGGAGUACGACCGCAAGGUUGGAACUCAAAGGAAUUGACGGGGGCCUAUACAAGUGGUGGAGCAUGUGGUUUAAUGCGACAAUACGCGCGAAACCUUACCAGUUCUUGACAUAAAAAAGAAAAAGUUUGAAAGGACAAUUUUGAAGAUUUUUACAGGUGCUGCAUGGCUGUCGUCAGCUCGUGUCGUGAGAUGUUAGGUUAACUCCUUUUAACGGGCGAAACCCCUUUUUUUAGUUGCCACUUAAAUUUAGUUUUAAAGCACUCUAAAAAGACUGCUCCCUUUUUUUAAUUUGGAGAGGAAGGUGGGGAUGACGUCAAGUCCUUAUGGCCCUUAUGAACUGGGCUACACACGUGCUACAAUGGUAAAGACAAUAAGAAGCAAUAGGGCAACCUGGAGCCAAUCUUUAAACUUUACCAAAGUUCGGAUUGUGGACUGCAACUCGUCCACAUGAAGGUGGAAUCACUAGUAAUCGCACAUCAGCAUGUUGCGGUGAAUUUGUACCUAGGCCUUGUACACACCGCCCGUCACGUGCCGGGAGUUGGCUUGGCUAGAAACUUAUUUCUUAACCACGAAAAUUUUUUUUUCUUUCAUUUUGAAAUUGUUAUAUUUUUGGAAGUGGGGAGAGUAAACUACAGAUGGGUCGAUGACUGGGAUGAAGUCGUAACAAGGUAGUCGUACGGGAACGUGCGGCUGGAAUUUUA
rnacentral:rRNA from 1 species